GGGUGAGUAACACGUGUAUAACCUACCUAUAAGACUGGGAUAACUUCGGGAAACCGGAGCUAAUACCGGAUAAUAUUUUGAACCGCAUGGUUCAAAAGUGAAAGACGGUCUUGCUGUCACUUAUAGAUGGAUCCGCGCUGCAUUAGCUAGUUGGUAAGGUAACGGCUUACCAAGGCAACGAUGCAUAGCCGACCUGAGAGGGUGAUCGGCCACACUGGAACUGAGACACGGUCCAG
rnacentral:rRNA from 1 species